rnacentral:rRNA from 1 species
AAUCAACGCUGGCGGCGUGCCUCAGACAUGCAAGUCGAACGAUUAAGACUUCCUUCGGGAAGUGCAUAAAGUGGCGCACGGGUGAGUAACACGUAAGUAAUCUACCCUCGAGUGGGGAAUAACAUCGGGAAACCGAUGCUAAUACCGCAUAAUGCAGCGGCACCGCAAGGUGACAGUUGUUAAAGGAGCAAUUCGCUUGAGGAGGAGCUUGCGGCAGAUUAGCUUGUUGGUAAGGUAACGGCUUACCAAGGCUACGAUCUGUAUCCGGUCUAAGAGGACGGUCGGACACACUGACACUGAAUAACGGGUCAGACUCCUACGGGAGGCAGCAGUCGGGAAUUUUGGGCAAUGGGCGAAAGCCUGACCCAGCAACGCCGCGUGAAGGAUGAAGUAUUUCGGUAUGUAAACUUCGAAAGAAUGGGAAGAAUAAAUGACGGUACCAUUUAUAAGCUCCGGCUAACUACGUGCCAGCAGCCGCUGUAAAAC